GACGUAGGGGGCCAGCGUUGUUCGGAAUUACUGGGUGUAAAGGGUUCGUAGGCGGUGUGGCAAGUCGGGAGUGAAAUUUCUGGGCUCAACUCAGAGACUGCUUCCGAAACUGCUGUGCUGGAGUGUGGGAGAGGCGCGUGGAAUUGCAGGUGUAGCGGUGAAAUGCGUAGAUAUCUGCAGGAACACCCGUGGCGAAAGCGGCGCGCUGGACCACUACUGACGCUGAGGAACGAAAGCUAGGGGAGCAAAUGGG
rnacentral:rRNA from 1 species